rnacentral:rRNA from 1 species
CAGCACGGACUUCGGUCUGGUGGCGAGUGGCGAACGGGUGAGUAAUGUAUCGGAACGUGCCCAGUAGCGGGGGAUAACUACGCGAAAGCGUAGCUAAUACCGCAUACGCCCUACGGGGGAAAGCAGGGGAUCGCAAGACCUUGCACUAUUGGAGCGGCCGAUAUCGGAUUAGCUAGUUGGUGGGGUAACGGCUCACCAAGGCGACGAUCCGUAGCUGGUUUGAGAGGACGACCAGCCACACUGGGACUGAGACACGGCCCAGACUCCUACGGGAGGCAGCAGUGGGGAAUUUUGGACAAUGGGGGAAACCCUGAUCCAGCCAUCCCGCGUGUGCGAUGAAGGCCUUCGGGUUGUAAAGCACUUUUGGCAGGAAAGAAACGUCGCGGGUUAAUACCUCGCGAAACUGACGGUACCUGCAGAAUAAGCACCGGCUAACUACGUGCCAGCAGCCGCGGUAAUACGUAGGGUGCAAGCGUUAAUCGGAAUUACUGGGCGUAAAGCGUGCGCAGGCGGUUCGGAAAGAAAGAUGUGAAAUCCCAGAGCUUAACUUUGGAACUGCAUUUUUAACUACCGGGCUAGAGUGUGUCAGAGGGAGGUGGAAUUCCGCGUGUAGCAGUGAAAUGCGUAGAUAUGCGGAGGAACACCGAUGGCGAAAGCAGCCUCCUGGGAUAACACUGACGCUCAUGCACGAAAGCGUGGGGA